UACGUAGGGUGCAAGCGUUGUCCGGAAUUAUUGGGCGUAAAGAGCUUGUAGGCGGUUUGUCGCGUCUGCUGUGAAAUUUCGGGGCUCAACCCCGAACUUGCAGUGGGUACGGGCAGACUAGAGUGUGGUAGGGGAGACUGGAAUUCCUGGUGUAGCGGUGAAAUGCGCAGAUAUCAGGAGGAACACCGAUGGCGAAGGCGGGUUGCUGGGCCGACACUGACGCUGAUGCGCGAAAGCCAGGGGAGCAAACAGG
rnacentral:rRNA from 1 species